AUUGAACGCUGGCGGCAGGCCUAACACAUGCAAGUCGAACGGUAACAGGAAGAAGCUUGCUUCUUUGCUGACGAGUGGCGGACGGGUGAGUAAUGUCUGGGAAACUGCCUGAUGGAGGGGGAUAACUACUGGAAACGGUAGCUAAUACCGCAUAACGUCUCAAGACCAAAGAGGGGGACCUUCGGGCCUCUUGCCAUCGGAUUUGCCCAGAUGGGAUUAGCUAGUAGGUGGGGUAACGGCUCACCUAGGCGACGAUCCCUAGCUGGUCUGAGAGGAUGACCAGCCACACUGGAACUGAGACACGGUCCAGACUCCUACGGGAGGCAGCAGUGGGGAAUAUUGCACAAUGGGCGCAAGCCUGAUGCAGCCAUGCCGCGUGUAUGAAGAAGGCCUUCGGGUUGUAAAGUACUUUCAGCGGGGAGGAAGGGAGUAAAGUUAAUACCUUUGCUCAUUGACGUUACCCGCAGAAGAAGCACCGGCUAACUCCGUG
rnacentral:rRNA from 1 species